rnacentral:rRNA from 1 species
CCUACGGGUGGCAGCAGUAGGGAAUCUUUCACAAUGGGCGAAAGCCUGAUGGAGCAACGCCGCGUGCAGGAUGAAGGCCUUCGGGUUGUAAACUGCUUUUAUAAGCGAGAAAUAUGAUGGUAACUUAUGAAUAAGGAUCGGCUAACUACGUGCCAGCAGCCGCGGUCAUACGUAGGAUCCGAGCAUUAUCCGGAGUGACUGGGUGUAAAGAGUUGCGUAGGUGGCAUAAUAAGUAGCUAGUGAAAUCUGGUGGCUCAACCAUUCAGACUAUUAGCUAAACUGUUAAGCUCGAGACCGUUAGAGGUAACUGGAAUUACUAGUGUAGGAGUGAAAUCCGUAGAUAUUAGGAGGAACACCAAUAGCGUAGGCAGGUUGCUGAGACGGUUCUGACACUAAGGCACGAAAGCGUAGGGAGCAAACGGGAUUAGAUACCCCAGUAGUC